rfam:Gossypium hirsutum cultivar TM-1 chromosome 4, whole genome shotgun sequence
CUUGGGGGAGCGUUUUGUCCAUGUCAGCAAAGAGCGCCCCCAAGGAAGCGUUUUUUGCUGACAUGGACAAAACGCUCCUCUAAGG